CUUCCAACGGCAGGUAUGUGCUUGGAAGGAAAAGAGAUGUUAAGGCUUACACGCUGUGACACAAAUUCACUCACUAACUUCGUAACCCUGCGUGCAGUGGAAGUUUGGCCUGCCGUGUUGUCAUACUAGACAAACAUACUUUUAUUGAGAGGGAGCUGUAAUAUGCCAGCCUUUGUGUUCAUUCAAUACCCAGGAAGUGCUACUUAGCACAUUACUGAUUCAGGAAGCCAGGAGAUCUUCAGAGUUAUUAGGUUUGUUCUUCCUAAUCCCAUGGAAUCUGCAGAAGAUAGUGUUUCCUGACUGGAAAUACUGUUUGAACUGAGAUUGGCAAUACUGGGGCAGAAAUAUAUGACAACCGAGAUGUAUGCAAGGCCUGGAAGGGCCAGCUCCAGCUUUUUUGCCGCCCCAAGCAGCGAGGAAAAAAAAAGAGGAAAAAGGAAAACCCAACUGAGCUGCCGCUAAAGAGGACGAGAGGGAGUGAAGGACUUGCUGCCGAAUUGCCGCCGAAGACUGAAGUGGAGUUAAGGUGCUGCUGAAUUCUCACCGCAGACCAGACGUGCUGCCCCAAUAAUAAAUGGACUGCCAUCCCUAUCUAUUGU